rnacentral:rRNA from 1 species
CGGGUGAGUAAUGCGUGACCAACCUGCCCCAUGCUCCAGAAUAGCUCUUGGAAACGGGUGGUAAUGCUGGAUGCUCCAACUUGACGCAUGUCUUGUUGUGAAAGUGUUUAGUGGCAUGGGAUGGGGUCGCGUCCUAUCAGCUUGUAGGCGGGGUAAUGGCCCACCUAGGCUUCGACGGGUAGCCGGCCUGAGAGGGCGGACGGCCACAUUGGGACUGAGAUACGGCCCAGACUCCUACGGGAGGCAGCAGAC